rnacentral:lncRNA from 1 species
GAGCCAUGAAAGGCAUCCAUCUGGUCCUGCUGGCCGUGCUGCUGUGCUCCCAGCAAGCCCUGAGCCUGCAGUGCUACAACUGCACUGAAGAAGAGGACGUCAGCAAGUGCCAGACCACCAUCUCAUGUGACUCCACACCGAGCAUCUGCUAUAAGGGCGGCAGGACCUUGACCAAGACCAGUGGUCCCCCAGGCACAUCUUCCAGAGAGAAGCCCCUCCCUCCCUCAUUACAGCCGCCCUUGCCCGGGAACUCUGAGUGUGGCUCUGGGAAUCCCAUAGGGAUCGCUAUGGUGGGGUCGGCGGGGCCUCGGAGACCAGGGCUGGCCCUUCCCUUCACAGAGGCCACGUGAGCAGAGGGACCAAAGUCCCCUCCCGCCGGUCCCUUCACCACCUGAGCUGGAGAGAAGGGGCAACUCAGCCUCAACCCCCGAACAAGGGUGCUGGCUCCUUUCCAGGCUUUGGGACAGUCUGGGAGGGAGUGCAGGCCCUGGGCGGGGGACACAUCCGCCCCACAGGAUUGGGUCCUCCCGCCAGGCAGGGGCUGGGAGGCCUGGAAAUCUGGAAGCCUUUCCUCCAGCACCCCUCCUUCCUCCAUCUCCCUUGCCCCAACUCAGCCCCCGGCUGCCAGUGGGCCAUGACAUCUCCCACCCCACCCAGUGCAACGGGGGAAGGUCCGGGGGCGGCUGUGUAUCGGGGGUAGGUGGAGUUUCAUGGGCAGAGGGGUUUGAAGACUCCACGGAUACUGGGCCAGCCUUACAGGAGCCUGCACGGGCUCCCCCAGCCUGGUGGGCCAGUCCCCUGCCUCCUGACUUCACCAUCCUGUCCCCUGGGUGACCUCAGGUCACAGCCCACGCCCUCUGGCCUGCCCCUGUGGCUUCAGCUCAGGUCACAGAGUCCUCCAAUGUAAGGGUGCCAGAGGAAGGUUCUUGAGGCUGGGAUGUGGUGUGUGCGACAAAGUGAGCAAACCUACCUGUGGGUGAGGAGCUCUCGCGAGAGCCCCUGGUGGUCCCUGAGGAGGGGCAGCCAAGUCUGAGGGGCCUCCCAUGCCGGCAGACUCCUCGACCAGGAGGCUCCACGUCAUCCCUUGAGACUUUUACGAAAGGUGUUUCCAAAAGCCCUUCCCACAGGCCAAGCAGUGGAUUCCCCAAACCCCAAUUGUGGCCAGUGUCUGAAGUCUCCUGUGAGGAAGCCAGUCCAGGGAGGGUCUGUGCCUGGCCGAGGCCCUCCCCACAUGGACCCAGGGCCAGGUGACAUCCCAGAGCAGCCAUGGCCGUCUGCAGACCCGCGGUUUAGACCAGUGUUUUCAUCCAAGCUCAGGGCUCCUUCUGGCCCCGCACAUCCUAUUAACAGGGCACUUUGGUUUGUGGAAAUAAAAUAGCGUACUCCAAGUUUGUGAUUCUUCA